UACGUAGGGGGCAAGCGUUGUCCGGAUUUAUUGGGCGUAAAGAGCGUGUAGGCGGUUUUACAAGUCCGCUGUGAAAACUCGAGGCUCAACCUCGAGCUGUCGGUGGAAACUGUAAGGCUAGAGUCCGGAAGAGGAGAGUGGAAUUCCCGGUGUAGCGGUGGAAUGCGUUAGAGAUCGGGAAGAACAUCAGUGGCGAAGGCGGCCUGCUGGGCUGUUGCUGACGCUGAGGCGCGGACAGCGU
rnacentral:rRNA from 1 species